rnacentral:rRNA from 1 species
AUUGAACGCUGGCGGCAUGCUUUACACAUGCAAGUCGAACGGUAACAGGCCGCAAGGUGCUGACGAGUGGCGAACGGGUGAGUAAUGCAUCGGAACGUGCCCAGUCGUGGGGGAUAACGCAGCGAAAGCUGCGCUAAUACCGCAUACGAUCUAUGGAUGAAAGCGGGGGACCGUAAGGCCUCGCGCGAUUGGAGCGGCCGAUGUCAGAUUAGGUAGUUGGUGGGGUAAAGGCUCACCAAGCCAACGAUCUGUAGCUGGUCUGAGAGGACGACCAGCCACACUGGGACUGAGACACGGCCCAGACUCCUACGGGAGGCAGCAGUGGGGAAUUUUGGACAAUGGGCGCAAGCCUGAUCCAGCAAUGCCGCGUGCAGGAAGAAGGCCUUCGGGUUGUAAACUGCUUUUGUACGGAACGAAACGGCUCUGGUUAAUACCUGGGGCUAAUGACGGUACCGUAAGAAUAAGCACCGGCUAACUACGUGCCAGCAGCCGCAGUAAUAC